GUAAUCCUGCAAAUGAGAGUAUUGUAUAAAUUGGGAAAGCAGCAUUUCUAGUAUACUUGGGGAAAAGCUCCUUAAAUAUACUACAACAACUUUGAAUUACAAUACAGUUUAAGAACAUGCAUACCCUGUAUUUGAGCAGCACCAAAUAUUUGGACGAGUUUACAUGUUUUUUCCGUUUAUAAUUUCCCCUGAUAUUGUUAAAGUCUUAAGUUUAGGAACUGCAGGGUUAUUCUCAUAGGUAGGAUAGAUAUGGCUAAGAUUUGACAGUUUCUGCAAGGACUCCUAACAGGUAUAUCUGUUAUUAACUAAUGUCUUUAACAACCCAGAUCUACUAUAUGGUAUUUCAAUAUAUUCAUAAUAAAAAUAUGGAUUUUAAAGAGGCCUUUUCAUGUUUUGAUAAAUUGACAAAAUUGAAAAAAAUUGUUUCAGAUUUCAAAUUUUUGUUUUUGUUACGAUAUAUGUGAGGAAAUAGUAAUACUGAACAUUCACCAUGCUCUAAAAUAUCCAUUAUAUGCAUCUUUUGACGAUUUGAAAACCUGAAAAUUAUAAAGCGUUGCAACACGAAACGAUUGAAGAAUUUGGAAAGUUUUGUUGUUGUUGUUAUAUUUUGGGAAACUACGAGGAUUGCUUACAUAAGUAAAAAAUACAUCAGCUCAUAGUAUGAGCACAGAAGGUCAAGUGGUCUAAGCAGAAGAAUUUUUACUCCAGGGGUCAGUGGUUCCAGCCCAGUUGAAGGUUACUUUUUUCCCUUUUUUAAUUGUAUUCUUGUUGUUUUUACUGGAGAUUUUUAGGUCCAAUGUUUAGAUUUAUCAAUAUAAAGCAUUUAAUGACAAGCUUCAAUACUUGCCAAAAUCUGUGAAAAGGCCCCUUUAAGAACAAAAUGUGUUAGAUAUCUGUGAAGUAUUUGUCUGGCACAUCGUUUUGAUAUUUUAUCAGAGUUAUUUUUUGUUGCAGUUUUUUGUUUAGUAAUUGGGUGUUUUAAUCAUCAUUAUUUGUUAUGUUUUCAACAUGAAGCCCCUCACAAUGUCUGUCCAAUGACCCCAACUCAAUAAAAGAACAAACAUAUAAGUAAACCUUACCCUGUGCUGGCCAGGCUUAGCUCCAUCAGGUUCUUCAACUCUGUCAACGACAACAGAGGCAUGAUCUACCGGUACAAGUAUGUUCACUUACAGCAGGUCUAUGCAUGAUCUACCGGUACAUGUAUGUUCACUUACAGCAGGUCUAUGCAUGAUCUACCUGUACAUGUAUGUUCACUUACAGCAGGUCUAUGCAUGAUCUACCUGUACAUGUAUGUUCACUUACAGCAGGUCUAUGCAUGAUCUACCUGUACAUGUAUGUUCACUUACAGCAGGUCUAUGCAUGAUCUACCUGUACAUGUAUGUUCACUUACAGCAGGUCUAUGCAUGAUCUACCGGUACAUGUAUGUUCACUUACAGCAGGUCUAUGCAUGAUCUACCUGUACAUGUAUGUUCACUUACAGCAGGUCUAUGCAUGAUCUACCUGUAAAUGUAUGUUUACUUACUGCAGGUCUAUCUUAACCACUUACAGCUCAGAUACACAUGCUGACACAUUUUUAAUCCUCCAGCAAAUUAUGUUUUAAAGGCUUCAUUUCCAGCCAUAAGAUAGUGAUGAGCAGUAAACAGCAUAAAACCUGAACUGACUUAAGUUACUCGGGGGUUUCUGGUUUUAUGAGUGUUGCAUAUAGCCCUGUUCACAGCAUGUGUCGUGUUUUAAGUACAGUUAGAAGUAUGAUUACGAUUUUUCAUGGAGUUAAAGGUACAAACAAAACAAGCGUACCGCAUAAUGGGUGCCACGCUCGGCUACGGGUGCAAUUU